AAAAAGAAAAGGUUGGGCAUUCAUGAUGAGAUGAAACCUUAGAUGUUUCCCUUCUAUUAAUUUGUUACUAAAUGGCCUUGCCCCUGGAGUUAAAUAAAAAUGCACAUUUGCAUCUCCUAGUCAGACGAGGAUCGGUGUAUGAUGAUAUGCUGCAACCUGAAUGUGUGUUGGCCAUUGAUAAACGAUGUUCAUUGUACGCUCUACAUCAGUCGAUCCAUAUUUAUAACGAAA
rnacentral:lncRNA from 1 species